GGCCCAGUGGCGGAUGGCUUCCGUGCCUGUAUCUAAUCGUCACCCUCCACCCAAUUUCUGCAGGACUCGCUCGUUCGAAUCGAGCCUGGGCCA